rnacentral:rRNA from 1 species
AUGCAAGAAGUGUUACCUCAACCAGAGUUCAUAAAAUUUGUGGUUACACUCUGGGCUAUAUGGGGUGCACGACGUAAGGCGAUUCACGAGCAGAUAUACAAAAGCCCAUUCUCAACACACUCUUUUGUGCAGGCAUAUCUGAGAGAGUUGGAGGCUAUAAAACAACCAUCAGUAUCAGUUCCAAGGUCUGGUCCACGGUCAUCACACCGGAUACCGCCUCCGGUGGGAGCAGCUAAAAUUAACGUGGACGCCGCAGUUGGGAGAGGAGGGAGAUAUGGAGCGGUGGGAGCUAUAUGCAGAGACCACUCUGGUGUUUUCCUGGGAGCUUCGGCAAUGGUGUUCAUGAGAAUCUCAGACCCGGCUACUCAUGAAUGUUUGGCAAUUAGGGAGUCUCUUUCCCUGGCAGAGGAUCUGUAUGAAUGGAAGAUUCAAGUUUCAUCAGAUUGCAAGGUGGUUGUGGAAGAUGUCCGAGAAAGAAACCUGACUAUUUAUGGAGCACUUAUACAUGAAAUAUUAGAUCGUACAUCUACUUUUGAGGCUUGUAAUAUUAGUCAUGAAUUUAGGAGCUCGAAUGUCGAGGCUCACAAACUCGCGAAGCAUGCUUCAGCGCUUCCGGCUGGCCGACAUGUGUGGUUAGGCCAGCUGGAUGGACUUUCCUUCGUCCGUGUAAACGUUGUGAUGAAUUAA